rnacentral:rRNA from 1 species
UACAGAGGGGGCAAGCGUUGUUCGGAAUUACUGGGCGUAAAGGGCGCGUAGGCGGCCUGUUAAGUCGAACGUGAAAUCCCCGGGCUCAACCCGGGAACUGCGUCCGAUACUGGCAGGCUUGAAUUCGGGAGAGGGAUGUGGAAUUCCAGGUGUAGCGGUGAAAUGCGUAGAUAUCUGGAGGAACACCGGUGGCGAAGGCGGCAUCCUGGACCGAUAUUGACGCUGAUGCGCGAAGCCA